AAGCAGGCUAACGUCUAUGGCACAAUGUAUCACAGAAACGAAUUUAAGGGAUUAAAAAUGCUUGUCGAAAAAAGUGAGUUUUUAAGUUCUUUUUGAAUACAGGCACCGACUUUGCAUUUUGAAGUUUUUUUGGUAAUGCAUUCCAAAGGAUGGCCGCUGCUUGAUCAAAUCUUCUAUUGCCGUAGGUUUUGGUUCGCACAAUAGGAGUUACGAGUGUUAAGUUGUUUUCAGACCUUAAUGAUCUUGAUGGCCUGUAUAAAUUUACAAGUUCACUAAGAUAUAAUGGCGCUUCAUGUUUCACGGACUUGAAUACAUAUAAUAAUAUUUUGUAUUGCACCCUGUAUUGCACAGGCAGCCAGUGAAGAGACUCAAGUGUCGAAGUAAUGUGUUCGUAUUUCUUUUUUCUUGUAACCACUCGCGCAGCAGUGUUCUGAACCCUUUGUAGUCUCUGAAUCAUGUAAGCUGGUAGUCCAUAAAGUAAAGCGUUGCCAUAAUCCAAUCUAGAAAUAAUUAACGAAUUGACCAGAGUUUUACAUGCAUCCUCGUUGAUGUACGGACGUAUGCGGCCUAUAUUUCGUAUUUGAUAAAAACAUGAUCUCGAAACUGAACUGACUUGUUGGUGCAUUGAC
rnacentral:lncRNA from 1 species